GGAGCUUGCUCCUGAAUUCAGCGGCGGACGGGUGAGUAAUGCCUAGGAAUCUGCCUGGUAGUGGGGGACAACGUUUCGAAAGGAACGCUAAUACCGCAUACGUCCUACGGGAGAAAGCAGGGGACCUUCGGGCCUUGCGCUAUCAGAUGAGCCUAGGUCGGAUUAGCUAGUUGGUGAGGUAAUGGCUCACCAAGGCGACGAUCCGUAACUGGUCUGAGAGGAUGAUCAGUCACACUGGAACUGAGACACGGUCCAGACUCCUACGGGAGGCAGCAGUGGGGAAUAUUGGACAAUGGGCGAAAGCCUGAUCCAGCCAUGCCGCGUGUGUGAAGAAGGUCUUCGGAUUGUAAAGCACUUUAAGUUGGGAGGGAAGGGCAGUAACUUAAUACGUUGCUGUCUUGACGUUACCGACAGAAUAAGCACCGGCUAACU
rnacentral:rRNA from 1 species